rnacentral:rRNA from 1 species
UACAGAGGGUGCAAGCGUUGUUCGGAAUUAUUGGGCGUAAAGCGCGUGUAGGCGGCUUUGCAAGUCGGGUGUGAAAGCCCUCGGCUCAACCGAGGAAGUGCGCCCGAAACUGCAGAGCUUGAGUACCGGAGAGGGUGGCGGAAUUCCUGGUGUAGAGGUGAAAUUCGUAGAUAUCGGGAGGAACACCAGCGGCGAAGGCGGCCACCUGGACGGAUACUGACGCUGAGACGCGAAGGCGUGGGGGAGCAAACAGG